rnacentral:lncRNA from 1 species
UCCCUCCGUUACCUCUCUGGGUGUUAUUCUCCUCACUUAGCAGAGAUGGGAACUAUGGUACAGAGAGGUUGCAUAAUAUGCUCGAGUUGCACCCCCCCCAGCUGUACAUGGUAGAGCCCACGUUCACUCACAGGCAGUUUUACUCUAGAGUCUAUGCUCUUAACCCUCCAGUCUGAGGAAGGAGGUAGCUUUGGUUAUCAAUAUUCACUAGUUCAACAAACAUUUCCCCAGAGAAUGCUCUUUGCCAGACUGAGAAUACAAAGGAAGGGAGAGGACACAGCAGAUAAAAAAAUCACAGUCACUUACAAUCCUGCCCUUAAGGUACUCAUUUUAGCAAGGAAGCAGAGAUCUAUAAACCAGCAAAUGAUUCAUCAAUGGAAAAUAACUGAAGAAUAUUUAAAGUCAACUUAGAUCUAGCAACAGGCAGGAUGGACCUGUUCUACCAGUGGGGAUAUUUGAUUUAGAUCUUGAAAGAUGAGCAUAAACUCAGAAAGCAGAGAAGCAAGAGAGGGAGACAAGAUUCAGGGCAGAAGGAAAUGUAGAAAUGUAAAAGGAGGCACAAACUUUAACCCUGAAGCAGGGUGAGUUAUGCUGUGUGGCUGGAUUGAGGAGUGUGUGCAGACACUUCAGGUUGAUGUGCUCAGCAUGUGCUCCCUGUUGCUCACUGUUCUACAGAAUCAGAAACAAAGCCACACAUCCAGAGGAGCUUGAAGCUACGAUGUACUCUCAAGGUCCAUCAACCUGCAGCACACAGUAGCAGAGCUAUUAAUUAAAGAAUCAUUUGUGGUCACAUUUGUGGAAAAGAAAAGUAUCCACAGAAUUAAAAAAUCAGAGGCCAAAUUGCUAUGGUAAUAAAACUUUAUGGCCCAAAUGGUAAAUUCCAAGGCUGGAGGAUUGAUUGGCUGAUUUCUUGAGUCCCCAUGGAGUGGGGAGAUAAGUAUGGAGCUACCGGUACCAUCCCAUACCUGGUGCCAAAUUCUGUGUCAGUGUUAGCUCUUCAGCAAGAGGCCAACACCCCAAAUAACAGUAGCUUAAUCAAGUUAGAAGGCUAUUUC